GUGAUGCUUUAUGGACAACGACUCCCAUAGGGCAGAGAAACGUGUUUCUUGUCAGUAUAUCUUAAUAUUUGACUAUAAUACGAACUCGAGACAGCCUCCAAGAUGGCUGACCGUUGUUUUCAACGUAAUCUACUCACUCUCGAAUACGCCGAUUCGUGGGGGCUGACAUCUUGCUAGUUCCGGUUUCAGGAGCCCAUUACCAAUUUUUUUUUUACAACUAAACCAAGAUAGACCACAGCCUGUCAUCAAAGUGGGAAAAACAAGCAAGGAGGUGGGCAGAGCCAAGCACGAGCUAGCGAGAUCCUAUUGGCGCGUGCUAGCAUACAUCUGCAUAUUUCUGUUCGGGAACGCCUACUCUGCGAAGUGCGCGUGGGCAUAAACUCAAUUUGCCAUUGCACUCCUAAACAACGCGACUUUAACACGAAGUCUACAAAACGUAGUGCACUCUGUUCAUAACAUAUUUUACAUUUGGGAACAUCAAACUGUAUUGAAAUCAAAUGUUUCACAGAUGAGAAUUUGCAGAAUCUCGGCCAAAAUCCAUCUUGUUUCAUCUUCUCCCACUGCCGGCCAGUGGGCACUUCAAGCGGAUGCUUCACAUUUUUACAUCCAGUGAUGGAACCCAGCUUUGACGGGCAUGUUCACUAGCAAGCGGUAAAUUGCCCCGUGCCGCUUAGGCCGCCCAUUGUGAUACGCUUGUGGGCGUGCUGGCAGCAUAUAACGUUAACGCCUUUUUGAUUGAGCGUCAAGAAUUCAGCAUAUGAAGUAUGUAUGAAGGUCUGGUUAUUAAAUGCCUAAAUAGUUCAAUAGUAAUAUGCUCUAAAACGCUCUGGUGAUGAACACACUUUGCUGCCCUGUUUCCAAUUGUCCACAUGGAUGGGAGAACCUAUUCAAGUUUUCUGUCCUCAGAUAAAGAGAGCUAUGAAAGCCUGUCUAGAGAUGAAGAGGUCCCAGUGAAGGGCAGUGGUUCUAAGUCCUGGUCCUGGGGACUCAAAAGGGGUGCACGUUUUGCUGCUACAAAUGAUCAACUCCUCAUCAAGCUUCAAGUGGUAAGGUGUAGGGCACUGCAAGGUUGGGUGACCAGGGCCAUCUGGGACUGCCUCCUGGAGGAAUUCAGGCGUGUGAAGGCUAACUGUGUCCUGCAUAACUUCAUGAGAAUGGACACGAGGACCAGGAGGGGAUCUGCAGCUCGCCGCCGUGUGCCAGAGGAGAAGUCUGGUGCUCUGCAGGAUGUUUCAAGGAUGGGGUUCAACAACGCAGCAAGAGGCAAUCUGUGUGCGGGAGAUCUUCACCUCCUACUUCUUCGAUGAGGGUGCUGUUCCCUGGCAACACCAUAGACUACACUAUGCACAACCAAAGACUCUUAAGAGCCAUCCACAUUACAAUAAGAGUAUUCUUCCAUUUACUUAGCGACGUCAACUGCGGUUAUUCAAUUCUCAGUGCCUCUCCCUUUGAUUUCUACUUCUCAGGUGUGGGUGCUGUUUAGGUAAGGGUGUAAUGUCAAAACAAAAACAGGGUAUUUUAAGUCACCCAUAUUGUAAAAAUGUAGAACAAUUAGACACCCUGUAACCCACACCUACACACUCAUGUAUCAAUCUGAUUGAUGGAUUGUGUUGAGCAGUAAGCAGGCUGAUGGAUUGUGUUGAGCAGAAAGCAGGCUCAGGUGUAUAACUGGCUCCUUCCACCUUCAAAGAAUAGGUAAGAGAACCAACCAUGGAGAAUAGUAAGACACUUCCUUAUUUCUAUAACUAUGCUAUAUUGUUUGUCCUUGUGUGUCUGCAUGGUUUUCAGCAUAAAGUACUCUGCAGCCACUUAGUGUGGACACCAGGUGAGGCCUCACACACAGAUUCCUGUUGAACACUGUCUCUUUUAACUACCUUAUUUUCUCACUAAGUAUUUCUCCUUCACUUCAUCCCUCUCUCCCCUUCUCCCUAAAUCUUCUAGGUGAUAUCAGCUGUGUCUGUGAACCCUCCCCGCAUCUGAACUCGCAACACAGAAGGCACAGCAUGAUCAGAGUUGAGAUGUCACUUGGUCGGGUCAACAGGAAGUAUUAUUAAAGAGAUGCUAUACAUUGAAAUAGAGAUUUAGUAGUCCCAGAGUUAAUGAUCCAAGGUCCGUUUUGCAUUUCACCUCCAGAUGAUUGUUGACUGACAGUGUUAGAAUAAAAUAAAAUAAACACCAUGCUUAAACAUGCAAUCUCUCUGUCUCAUCUGCAGGUAUGUUUUGAUGUGAAAGAGGAUGCCAACCCCCAGUCCUGUCAUCACCACCUCACCCGUUCUUAAGAUAACCUUUGGGCCGACUGGGAGCCCAAGGCUGGUUAGGAGACACCACUAGAGACACAAUUAUGUAAUUGUGAUGAACAGAGAAUAUUAGGGUAGCACUGUGAUUCAUUAAUCAUAUGCUGUCUUCCCUGCUCCUCUGUUCUUUCCCUUUCUGUCUUUUACACCUCUAUCGCCACCUCUUUCUUCCUCUGUUUUUUAUAAUGCACACCAGAUGUGCAUUGAAGUACAGAUUGAACUUGUAUUUAUAAUGCAAGUAUUAUGUAUUUAUAACACUUGGCUAAUGAACUUCUUUCAAUUAAGCGUUUCACAUUCUCUACUGGUUGAAAUUAAGUCUCAUUUGAUAAAAUACUACACUUUUCCUGUUUAUCAGAUCAAUACAGAUGAAGGAAAUUAAAUAUUGAGGUGAACUGGUUUUAGUAUUUACAUGAUGCAUAGGCAGUGUAGUGUACUGUUAAA